AAAGCAACACUGCAGUAUCCGAUGGAGCCACUGUCUUCUUCGGUCACCGGUUUUUUUUCUUUUUUUCACCAUUCAACUUGCUCAGGACUCGGCGCUGAACUCGGUCACUGCUUGUCCAUCUAUCUGGGGUUCAUAUUUGUGCCAAACGGUGGGGAAAAUCGGUUCAGCUUGGUUCAAGUGGUAUUUUUUUUUCUCUCUUUGGAAACCAGGUUUUGUUCCUCUUUUCUCAACAUAUGUACCGGAUCAGACCAUGCCCUAGGAUGAGUUUGAAAGAAGUAAUUUAUUGUUAGGGUUUUGAUUAACUCAGUCCCGGUAAUAGUUUAUAAGAUCAUGGUUGUCUUUCCCAACUCAGAAUACUUCAUAAAAUUUGUAGGAAAUUGUAGUUUUCCCCCUCAUUUUGAACAUGCUUGCACAUAAGAGUUGCAGUUUAAUAAUAAUAGUAAUGAUGAAAGUAAUAAUGGAAUGUAUAUAGAUCUAACCUAAGAGCUGUCUAGUUGUAACUUGUGAAAAUAAUUUAAAGUUUAAAUGAGCUAAAUUUUGACACCGUAUAAACAACUUAUACAAGGGUGUUUUCAUUUCUGGUACAAAUAUUAUUUUUUUGGUAAUUAGAUUGUUUGCAUUUGUGUACAUGUUUGAAUCAAUUUAUUAGUAGGUUAAUAAACUAUUUUAAGGUUAUCUCCUUGUAAUAAAUUAUGAAGAUAAAUUACACUUAAACUUGGUGUUUUUUCAGAAGUAGGCAAAACGUGUGGGGCUGAACGUUUUCUGGUGAAGAAAUCGUUAUGUCCCAAUGCGUUUUUGAGUCAAAUACGGUCAAUGGAUGAAAUCGUGCAGGGGUGAACGAUUUUAACAAAGAAAUCGUGGGGGGUCAGGCCGUUUUCAUAGAGAAAACGUGAAGGAGGUUGACAUUUUCAAAGAGAAAACGUGCCAGGGGUGCACGUUUUCAUCCUUUUUGUUUUUUUUUUUCUUUGAGCACCCCAUCCAUCUUUCUACGUUCCGGAUCCUCUUCUUUUGUUUUUUAUACAAUAUGAACAUGCUUUCAAGUGGUUAUAUAUUGAACACACCACUGCUUGCGGAAAUUGGGACUUCAUAGCUAAAGGUUUUGCUUGCACUGUAGGUUGUUUUACUUAGUAAGCUGUAAAAAAAAUAUAAAAUUAAAUGAAAUAAUAUUUUGUUUGAAGGAAAAAUUUUGUGCAUGUGGAAUGUAAGAUUAGGAAAAUGUCGUACCCAAAUUAAUGAAAUCUUUCUUGAGAUCCUCCAUAAUUCCAUGAACUCAUUAUGGACACGUUGGUAUGGAAAUGUAUUGUAACAAAUUUGAGAUGUGAAACAAGCGGUGGAUGCAGAGAAAAUUUGGUAGGAGAACAAAUGGUGGUGUGUUCAAUAUAUAACCACUUAAAAGCAUGUUCAUAUUGCAUAAAAAACAAGAGAAUAAGAGGUUCCAGAACGUAGAAAGAUGGAUGGGGGGUGCGCAAAGAAAAAAAAAACAAAAAAUAUGAAAACGUGCACCCCUGACACGUUUUCUCUUUGAAAAUGUCAACCCCCUUCACGUUUUCUCUAUGAAAACGGCCUGACCCCCACGAUUUCUUUGUUAAAAUCGUCCACCCCCUGCACGAUUUCAUUCAUUGACUGUAUUUGACUCAAAAACGCAAGGGGCAUAACGAUUUCUUCACCAGAAAACAUUCAGCCCCCACACGUUUUGCCUACUAUGAUAAUUUUUUAAAAUUCUGCCUAAUACUGUAAUUAGGCCAACUUAUUUGCCUACUUUUGAAAAAAAAACCCUUAAACUUACAUCCUGAAUGCAACACUUUCUUUCUAAUUUAUUUUCAAUAAUAGAAAUAGCUUAUGCAUGAAUGCUUUCAUCAUAAACACUUAUAAAUACUUUGGUGGUGUUUGCAACACUCUCUUUUUUAUUUAUUUUCAAUAAUAGAAAUAACUUAUGCAUGAAUGCUUUCAUUAUAAACACUUAUAAAUACUUUGGUGGUGUUUGAAUAAAUUUCAGUCUUAAAUACUUAUAAUGGAAGAAAACUGUUAAAAUUAAUUGAGUUUCUCCAAUAUACUAAAGUCUACUUAUAACUUCACUUCUUGACAACAUUAAAUGAAAAGACUUCUAUAAAAGCUAACAGUGCAAAUUAUAUGAGAAACAUUUAGAAGUUCCACUUUGUAUACAUCAAGUCUUUGAGUGCAACUUAUAUAUAUGUUGGGAAAACUUCUUUGGUAAAUACCAAUUUGUUUUAGAAUGGAAUAUUGCUUACUCUAGUAGGAUAUUGCCUAGUUUACCGAGACAUCCCUCUGUGGAGAUGAAUGUUGUAAAGUUCCAUAUUGUCUGCCUACCUUUGAUAGGUUGAAAGUCUGAUUCAAAGGAAGCAGUGGGUUAAAAGAGUUCACACAUUUAAGGGAAGCCAAUGGAACACCUGACCGUGUUGUAUGUGUUUUGGAUAUGUCAAAUCUGAGAAGUUUUUUAAGUUCCUGUUUCCACAAAUAAUUACGAAAGUAUUGUGUAUUUUUACUUCCUUUUUUUUUUAUGAGAUCUGUUUGUAUAAGAAACAGUAUAGGUGAAAGUAAGAAACGAACUGUAUAUAUCUGAAUUUUUUGUCUGGGAGAAAUAACAAUAAAGAUGAUUUUCUCAGAACAAACAACCUUAAUGUUUACCUUUAUGGAAAAGGUUAUUGGCUUCAGUAGAUACUUUGAAAAUUACUAUGCUUCCUGUGAAAUGAGUAGAUUUACAAAGUUGUAAAUGUGAUUUCUUCCAAUCUCUCUUGGCUCAAAUGAAAUAUUGUGGUGCAUUGUUGAUUUGUUUGUAACCUCUCCCUACUCUUUGAGGGAACUAUUAUAUAAGUUCUGGUCUAUAUCUCUCAUCUCAGCUUGUUAAUUCAUCCCUUUACAUGAUUGUCCUUGGCUUCACAGAAUAAAUUUUUGUAACUGGUUGAUGGGUUAUUUAUUUUUAGAAUAUUAUUAAGGAUUGCAGGAUUUAUUUGAUGUGGUUAAUUAGGUGUUGGACUCUUAAUUUUUUAUAGCUUGAGAUGUAAUACAUUAAGCACUGAUCUUUUUGUUCCGUACAGCUACAGUUUUUUUGCUGCAUAUUUUAAUCUUCUCCGUGGAUCCAAAUGGUGAGUUAUGUUAAUAUAUGACUUCCAUCUUGCAACAAAAUUUACUGAAUAGAUAAUCAUCAUGACAAGAUUGUGCAACAGAGCCAUGUUUGGGCCCUUUCCUAAUGUUAUGUUCUUACUGAAAAAUAGAUCAACACUAGAAGGGGAGGGUUGACAGUAAUGUAAGAAAGUUCAUGCUCUUAAAAGACUUUUGAUAAAAUGAUUUUCACAAAACUGAAGUGUAAAAAUUUUAUCCACAUAUACUGUUUACAAGUAUAAUAGAAGAGCAGCGAAAUCUCCUUUUAUGACUUUUGACUUAUGUGAGGACAUAAUGUCACUCACUCCUGACAAAUCCUCCUAAUCUCUCCUGGAGACUAAGAAGACCAAGUAUUCUCUGACACUAAGCUUCUUUUGGCUUUCUUUGACACCAAGUAUUAGUUAUAAGAAUGUGUUUUUGUUGUUUCGAUGUUGUUUGUAUUUUUUAGGCUUCAAGAAUGUGUUCAUGGUAAGACAUUUGAUAAUGGGUACUGAAACAAAUAUUUGAUUGUUAGAAAGUUGAAGCAGAUCUUCUUGUAAUCUUUCAUAUUCUUGUAAAAUCUAUUUUCCAAAUAGAUUUUAUUCUUUCUUGUUAGACUGCUUAUGUGUAUCUCUGGUUUGUUGAUAUGUGCUGCACACAUCAAAAAGGAAAUUAAAGGUACGUGUCUUAGGGAUAACGUGUAAUGUUUUUCCUUUUACGUGUUAUAUUAUUGCCGUUUACAAACUUUUAUUAAAGCAAGUAAAAAUAUUUAUCUUAUUCUGGAUAAUACUUUAUUGAUAAAAACAAAUUAUAUACCCUAGAUUACAUGCUGUUUUUGUAUUAUAGAAGGUUAGAUAAUAUAAAGUCAUCAAGUUUUUUAAUUGAUUUAGCAAGCUCCAAAGCAUAUGUUCAAACAAGAGGAUAUGUGGUUUCAAAACUUAAUCUCGAAUGUUAUUACCGCAACGUAAUGUAAAUGUCACAUACUAUGUUUAAACGGUAUGAGACUAGAUUGUUUUAGUCUUAACAGUUGUUUCAUGUUUCUCUUUGUGCAUUGAUGUGUUGAUUGAAUGGUCCUGUGGGUCAAGUACUCUCUGUAUUGUUAAUACUCUAUCUUUUUUGCAGUAUUCAAAACUCAUGCCAGCACGCUUCACAUAUAUAUUCAGAUGCUCAAAGCUUGAGGGAAACAUGUGCAACUCCAAUUCUUAAACAGGUGAAGAGUGAUUUUACCAUAUAUUGAUAUGGAGAUGAGCAGCAUUUGGAUGAGACAUGGAAACAAAUAUUCUUAUAUGACCCUGUUACUGUGUUCAUAUCACCACCAGACUUCUUUCCUUUUUGCUACUCCCUUCAACUCACCUUCAACCAGGGAAUUCCGUUCUCCUACUCCAAAUGGACGGUAGAUUGAACUUUGAGGAUGCUGUGGCCAGUUCUUCAAAAGGGAACCGGAAAAUCUUGUCAUCAAUGCCGGCAAAAAGAGGAAAAUUUUGCUGUAACAUGCAAGAACUUCAAGAAAGGGAAACGUUGUCCAAUUAAGUUCUGCAACAAGUGCCUCUUGACCAGGUCAGUCUGGAUUAUAAAGUUUAGGUUUUCUUUUUAUUUUAGAUGUUUGUAACUUUCAAAAUUAUUCUAUCCUUCUUUCAUAAAAGUGUGAUAUGCAGCAUAUCAAAGAUAUAUAUGAAGAUGUGGGAACAGUGGAAGGACAUAGAGGAGCUCAAGGCCUUGUUUUUGGGCAUGUUUAUGGCAAAGCCUUUUUUAAUUUUGCAACGAGUAUACAAAGAAAUCACAAAAAUAUGACUAAUAUUCUAAAAACGAUGACUAAUAUUGAUUUUUUUAAAUGGGAAAUGUUCCAAAUUGUCAGGUGAGAUAUCCUUGGUACAAAAUGAAAGAAUGAGAGAGUAUACGAAUACAGUCAGUACUUGCAUAUCUGUAUAUGUUUUGUUUGAUGAGGAUUUUGCUAUGGUGAUUUAGGCUCUUGAUCUCAAGGAAGGAGAACCGGAAGCCAUGUUAAAAGAAUUGGUUAGUAAAGGACAUAACUCCUUGCUGAUUGAAUUUCACAGUAGACUCUUGGCUUUGAUCCUAAGCGAAUCAGGAAAGGAGAAACUGAGGAGAUAUAUUAAAGAUGAAAACUCAAGAUAUGCAAAAGGAGUGAAAGAAGCAAAACUUAAGAUUGAUGCAACUAAGGAAAAGAUAAAGUGUGUUGAACGGAAGUUGCGGAAUGAGAAGGCAAAAGUUGUUUCUUCAACUGUGUCUCCCUUUCCAAUGGAGGAAAAAAAUAAGAACCGAGGUUGAUGAAGCACACGCUGACAUGCUCAGGUUAAAGAGCACAAAAUUCAUGAGCUCAUUUUUGUGAUCAAUGAUACAUUAUUUGACUUAGGCUUUAGCAAGUUUUCUAAACGAAAGCAACAUUCAGACAUCAAAAUAGAAGAUGAAACUGCAACUUCACCUGAAGAAAGCUGGUCUGUUUAUAGUCCUGCAGAGAUAUCAAAAUAUAUUUCCUCAAUGUUUUGGUGGAAAUCUUUCUCUGAUGGUGCUUUUUAUCGAGGCUGCACAGUGGCGGAACUUGACCAAAAAUUCUAUGGGGGCAAAUUAUAUUUGUUAUAUAUAAAUUUUUUUUAAUUAAAAAAUAAUAAUUUCUUUUAAUUAAAAAAAAUCAAUUUCUUUACAUUAUUUUUUUUAUUCAAAAUAAGCACUCAUGACAAUAGAAUCUAAACAAUAUAUAUAACAAUGGA